AACGAACGCUGGCGGCAGGCUUAACACAUGCAAGUCGAGCGCCUCGCAAGAGGAGCGGCAGACGGGUGAGUAACGCGUGGGAAUCUACCCAUCCUUACGGAACAACUCCGGGAAACUGGAGCUAAUACCGUAUACGCCCUACGGGGGAAAGAUUUAUCGAGGAUGGAUGAGCCCGCGUUGGAUUAGCUAGUUGGUGGGGUAAAGGCCUACCAAGGCGACGAUCCAUAGCUGGUCUGAGAGGAUGAUCAGCCACAUUGGGACUGA
rnacentral:rRNA from 1 species